CAAGUCGAACGAUGAAGUUCCUUCGGGAAUGGAUUAGUGGCGAACGGGUGAGAAACACGUGAGAAACCUGCCUUUCAUUUUGGGAUAACUCCGGGAAACCGGAGCUAACACCGAAUACUCCGUCUCGGCGGCAUCGCUGAGCCGGGAAAAAAUUUUGAUGAAAGAUGGUCUCGCGGCCUAUCAGCUAGUUGGUGAGGUAAUGGCUCACCAAGGCGACGACGGGUAGCCGGCCUGAGAGGGCGACCGGCCACACUGGGACUGAGACACGGCCCAGACUCCUACGGGAGGCAGCAGUGGGGAAUAUUGGGCAAUGGGCGCAAGCCUGACCCAGCGACGCCGCGUGAGGGAUGAAGGCCUUCGGGUUGUAAACCUCUUUCAGUAGGGAAGAAGCGAAAGUGACGGUACCUAAAGAAGAAGCACCGGCUAACUAUGUGCCAGCAGCCGCGGUAAUACAUAGGGUGCAAGCGUUGUCCGGAAUUAUUGGGCGUAAAGAGCUCGUAGGUCGUUUGCCACGUCGAUUGUGAAAAUCUGAGGCUCAACCUCAGACCUGCAGUCGAUACGGGCAAACUAGAGUGUGGUAGGGGAGACUGGAAUUCCUGGUGUAGCGGUGGAAUGCGCAGAUAUCAGGAGGAACACCAAUGGCGAAGGCAGGUCUCUGGGCCAUAACUGACACUGAGGAGCGAAAGCGCGGGGAGCGAACAGGAUUAGAUACCCUGGUAGUCCGCGCCGUAAACGAUGGGCACUAGCUGUGAGAACCUUCCACGGCUUUCGCGAGCAGCAAACGCAUUAAGUGCCCCGCCUGGGGAGUACGAUCGCAAGAUUAAAACUCAAAGGAAUUGACGG
rnacentral:rRNA from 1 species